UACGUAGGGUGCGAGCGUUGUCCGGAAUUACUGGGCGUAAAGAGCUCGUAGGUGGUUUGUCGCGUUGUUCGUGAAAACCGGGGGCUUAACCCUCGGCGUGCGGGCGAUACGGGCAGACUUGAGUACUGCAGGGGAGACUGGAAUUCCUGGUGUAGCGGUGGAAUGCGCAGAUAUCAGGAGGAACACCGGUGGCGAAGGCGGCUCUCUGGGACGGUACUGACGCUGAGACGCGAAAUCGUGGGGAGCGAACAGG
rnacentral:rRNA from 1 species